rnacentral:rRNA from 1 species
CACGUAGGGGGCGAGCGUUGUCCGGAAUCAUUGGGCGUAAAGAGCUCGUAGGCGGCUCAGUAAGUCGGGUGUGAAACCCUCAGGCUCAACCUGGGGACGCCACUCGAUACUGCUGUGGCUAGAGUCCAGUAGGGGAGUGUGGAAUUCCCGGUGUAGCGGUGAAAUGCGCAGAUAUCGGGAAGAACACCCGUGGCGAAGGCGGUUCUCUGGGACGGUACUGACGCUGAGACGCGAAAGCGUGGGGAGCGAACAGG